AAAUCACCUCCAGGUCACUAGGCUGAAAACCGCUGUCAUUUCUCCUGGAACAAAUAUUCUCUACCUUACUCUAGCACCACAUUAUUAAAUGGAGAUAACAAUAUUUAUGCCCUUCCCAAGGGGUAACAGGGAUGGACAGCUCUCCUGGGUUGGGCCUGCUUGGAUGAGGAAGUGACAAGCAGUGGGGAAACAGGGAUUUAUGUGUGAGCGAACAGCAGGCAGCUGUCUCCUCGGCAGCGGCUGCCACCGGGAACUACAAGGCAACGUGAAGCCUGUGCUAGAAAAACCCCUCCUGGGCCGGUCCUGCAAGCAGCCAAGAUGCGGUUAAAGAUUCCAAUUCUGAUGGGAUCCCAUGUCUCCUAGGUUACAGCUGAGGACUGUGUUUUCCUUUAUUACAACAGAAAAUGUGUGUUCCCCAGGGACUGUUCAAACAUCUGUAUGAGCAUUUCAGGCCCACCCAGACAAACCAGGAUUACGCCCUCAUCUCAAGAUCCUUAAUUUAAUCACAUCUACAAAGAUCUUUUGGACCUGAUGUCUUUGGGGAACGUUUUCAGUCUACUAUGCCUUUUAUGGAUCAGACAUUGUGCUAAAUGCUGAGAACAUAGCAGAUAAAAAGACCCUAUUGUACUCCCAAGGAAUGAAAGAUUAUUAAGGAUCACAGACUCUCAGAUUUGGACAAGACAUUAGAAAUGCGGUUCUCAAAGUGUAGUCUCCGGACCACCAACAUCACCGGAGAAUUUUUUGGAAAGAGCACUGUCCUGGGCACAGAAAGGAAUACAAAAGGAUAUAACACACAGAUUCUGGCUUUAAGGAUGUGAUGAUGAAAAUGGAGAAACCCACCAAAGGCAUGUGAAGUGCUGAUGGAAAGUAGCAGCAGAUACCUGUACCUGGCUUAGAGAUGAAGAGGAGAGUUCAUUCUGGGCUUGCCUGUUUCCAUCUGUUAUGUUCCAGCUGACUGAAUUUGGGCCCAUCAUUUUACCUCUCUGUGGUUCAGUUUCUUCAUCCAGAAAGUGAGGCAAAUAAACUGGAGCAUGUCUAAUCAUCUAUGACUCUGAGUACAGCCAGAAGUGCUACCAGAAUUCAAAAUAAUGAUAAUGCCUAAUACGGAAUGAGUUGGGGCAAGUACUGGUUUAAAACUUUGUGAUUCAUUUAUUCUUCAUUUCAACCCUGAGAGGUUCUGGCAUCAUUUCCAUUUUAUAGAUGGGAAACUGAGGCACAGAAAAAUUUUAAAUUACUUUCUUAAGAUCAUACAGCUAACAAGUAGCAAAGCUGGGAUUUAAACCUGUACUCUUAACAAUAUGCUAUAUGCGGCCGGGCGCGGUGGCUCACGCCUGUAAUCCCAGCACUUUGGGAGGCCGAGACGGGCGGAUCACAAGGUCAGGAAAUCGAGACCAUCCUGGCUAACACGGUGAAACCCCGUCUCUACUAAAAAUACAAAAAUUAG
rnacentral:lncRNA from 1 species